CUUGGUCAUUUAGAGGAAGUAAAAGUCGUAACAAGGUUCCGUAGGUGAACCUGCGGAAGGAUCAUUAGUGAAUCUUCAAAGUCGGUCGUCGGAUUGUGCUGGUGGAGACACAUGUGCACGUCUGCGAGUCGCAACCCACACACCUGUGCAUCUAUGACUCUGAGUGCCGCUUUGCAUGGCCCCUGAUUUGGGCCUGGCGCUCGAGUACUUUCACACACUCUCGAAUGUAAUGAAUGUCUUGUUGUGCAUAACGUACAAACAGAAACAACUUUCAACAACGGUCUCUUGGCUCUCGCAUCGAUGAAGAACGCAGCGAAAUGCGAUAAGUAAGUGAAUUGCAGAAUUCAGUGAAUCAUCGAAUCUUUGAACGCACCUUGCACCUUUGGUAUUCCGAAGGGUACGCCCGUUUGAGUGUCAUUGUAAUCUCAUACGAUCGACUUUUGUCUUUUCGUAUGUGGACUUGGAUGUUGCCGUGAUAAACAAACGGCUCGUCUGAAAUGCCUGAGUGUACCCCGCUUUGCGGCGAUUCGGUGUGAUAAAUCUUCACCGGAGUUGAUCCCUUUAUGGGGUCGCGCUGUAAUGGUGUGGCUCUAUGCUUCGAACCGUCUCCUAUCGAGACAAAUUCUGACAAUUUGACCUCAAAUCGGGUGGGACUACCCGCUGAACUUAAGCUAUCAAUAAGCGGAGGA
rnacentral:rRNA from 1 species